UCCCUGGAAACCAUGACUGGUUUGACGGACUCAAUACUUUCAUGAGGUAUAUAUGCCAUAAGAGUUGGUUAGGCGGCUGGUUAAUGCCUCAGAAGAAAAGCUAUUUUGCCCUGCAGCUACCUAAGGGAUGGUGGGUGUUUGGUUUGGAUCUUGCACUUCAUGGUGAUAUUGAUGUCGACCAAUUCAAAUUCUUUUCCGAAUUGGUGAAGGGCAAGGUUGGUGAGAAUGAUGCUGUGAUCAUUAUCACGCAUGAA